UCUAAAGGCAUGUAAAGGCAUCUAAAAGCAAGGCAAGGCAUCUAAAGGCAUGUAAAGGCGUCUAAAGACAAGGCAAGGCACGGCAUCUACAGGCAUGUGAAGGCAUCUAAAGGCAAGGCAAGGCAAGACAAAGCAUCUAAAUGCAUGUAAAGGCAUGUAAUGGCAAGGCAAGGCAUCUAAAGGCAUGUAAAGGCAUCUAAAGGCAAGGCAAGGCAAGGCACAGCAUCUAAGGCAUCUAAAGGCAUGUAAUGGCAAGGCAAGGCCAGGCAAUGCAAGGCAUCUAAAGGCAUGUAAAGGCAUCUAAAGCCAAGGCAAGGUAAGGCAAGAUGAGGCAUGUAAAGGCAUCUAAAGGCAAGGCUAGGCAAGGCAAGAAAAGGCAUCUAAAGGCAUGCAAAGAAAUCUAAAGUCAAGUCCAGGCAAGUCAAGUCAAAGUCAAGUCAAGUCACGUCAAGUCAAAAGUCAAGUCAACUCAAGGCAGGGCAGGGCAAGGCAAAGGUAAAGGCAAAAAGGCAAAGGCAAAGGUAAAGGCAAAAAGGCAAGGCCCAUCCAGUCAAGUCAAGGCAAGGCAAGUCCAGGCAAGUAAAAUCCAGGAAAGUCAAGUCAAGUCCAGGCAAGGCAUGUCCAGUCCAGGCAAGGGCUGGUGCCUGGCCUGUUGCCCCUAAGUUUGAUAGAUGAACCAACACUCUGCAAGCAAGGGCUGCCAUCUGUGACCCCUCAGCUCAGGAUGCCAUCAUGAGCAGGAACCAGGUUUCUCAGGAGGCCUUGGGCUACUAUCUGGUGGUCAUGACUCCCAGAGUAUGGAGACAGGAGUUUGUGCUUCCCACUUCCUCCCAAUGAUUGCCUGGAUAUGAUGGACCACAGUGGGAUCACAACAUGAACUUGAGACUAUGAUGUUAACCAGAUGGUUAGCAAAAAAUGGCAAAUCUUUCACUAGAACAGCCAAGAAAGAGAGACACAAGACUCAAAAUAACAUCAGAAGUGAAAAUGUGAACGUUACUACAGAUUUUACAGAAAUCAAAACUUAUGAGUAAAUGCCAUUGUAUACUGAUAAAUUGGAUAGCCUGACUAAAAUGGAAAUUUCUAAAACACACAGUGUGUUAAAACUGACGCAUAAAGAUAUAGAAAAAUUGGAACAGACCUAUAACCAGUGAGGAGUAAUAAAAUCAAAGCCAGAUGACUUCA